CAACCUCAAAAAAUAUCUUAGCUUCUCUUAGAUUGCAGAGAUAGAGAGCCUUUCUGCUCUAUCAGACGUCCCAACCGAGCUUCAGCCAUCAGGUUCGAACUCUCUGGUAAGUCACGAUAAUGGCCACUACCCCAAUCCACUCUCUGUGACAGAUUCCACAUGGCCCCACCUCUCUCUGGCAAGUCCUGACAAUGGACACCACUCCACUCUCCAUAACAAACUCCACGUGACCC
rnacentral:lncRNA from 1 species